AACGAACGCUGGCGGCAGGCCUAACACAUGUAAGUCGAGCGAGGACUUCGGUUCUAGCGGCGGACGGGUGAGUAACGCGUGGGAAUGUGCCCUUCUCUACGGAAUAGCCCUGGGAAACUGGGAGUAAUACCGUAUACGCCCUAUUGGGGAAAGAUUUAUCGGAGAAGGAUCAGCCCGCGUUGGAUUAGGUAGUUGGUGGGGUAAUGGCCUACCAAGCCGACGAUCCAUAGCUGGUUUGAGAGGAUGAUCAGCCACACUGGGACUGAGACACGGCCCAGACUCCUACGGGAGGCAGCAGUGGGGAAUCUUAGACAAUGGGGGCAACCCUGAUCUAGCCAUGCCGCGUGAGUGAUGAAGGCCUUAGGGUUGUAAAGCUCUUUCAGCUGGGAAGAUAAUGACGGUACCAGCAGAAGAAGCCCCGGCUAACUCCGUG
rnacentral:rRNA from 1 species